rnacentral:rRNA from 1 species
CCUACGGGUGGCAGCAGUGAGGAAUAUUGGUCAAUGGGCGAGAGCCUGAACCAGCCAAGUCGCGUGAAGGAUGACGGCCCUACGGGUUGUAAACUUCUUUUGUCAGGGAGCAAUUGGGUCCACGCGUGGGCUUCUCGAGAGUACCUGAAGAAAAAGCCUCGGCUAACUCCGUUCCAGCAGCCGCGGUAAUACGGAGGAUUCGAGCGUUAUCCGGAUUUUUUGGGUUUAAAGGGUGCGUAGGCGGACUAUCAAGUCAGCGGUAAAAAUUCGGGGCUCAACCCCGUCGUGCCGUUGAAACUGAUGUGGUUGAGUGGGCGUGAAGUAGGCGGAAGGCGUGGGGUAGCGGGGAAAUGCAUAGAUAUCACGCAGAACUCCGAUUGCGAAGGCAGCAUACCGGCGCACAACUGACGCUGAAGCACGAAAGCGUGGGUAGCGAACAGGAUUAGAUACCCGGGUAGUC